UGGGGACAUCAGGGACAGGGUGAGGGACACCUGGGCAGGGUUUGGGGACACCUGGACAGGGUUUGGGGACACCUGAGGAUGUUUGGGACAAGGUUGGGGACACCAAGAGACACCAGGAGCAGGACUGUGGACACGUGGUGUCAUCAACAACAGGGCUGGGGACACUGAGGGACAUCGGGGCCAGGCUUAGGGACACCAGGAGCAGGGUUGGGGACACCUGGGGACAUUGGGGACAGAACUGAGGGGGUAUAAGGGACACCAAGACCAAGGCUGGGGACACUGGGGACACUCUGGGGACACCUGGGACUAUCAAAACCAGACCUGGGAACACCUGGGGACAUCAGGGACAGGGUGAGAGACACCUGGACAGGUUUGGGGACACCAGGGGACAUCAGGGACAGGGUGAGGGAUACCUGGACAGCAUUGGGGACACCUGGGGGCACUGGGAAUGGGCUUGGGGGGGUCUAAGGGACACCUGGAUGGGGUUUGGGAACACCUGGUGCCAUCAGGGACAGGGUGAGAGACAUCUGGACAGGGUUUGGGGACACCUGGACGGGGUUUGGGGACAUCUGGGACAGGGUUUGGGGACACCUGGACAGGUUUGGGGACACCUGGGCGGGGUUUGGGGACAUCUGGGACAGGGUUUGGGGACACCUGGACAGGUUUGGGGACACCUGGGGUGACGUGGGGGAUGGGGGGAGUUUGAGGGGCUUUCAAAGCCCACCCAUUCCAGGAUUCUGGAAUCCCUGGGCCGAGCUGUGUCCCCUCGGGAAGGGACAGCGUGUCCUGCCCUCCUCACCUUCAUUUCACCCACCCAAAGUCCACUUUUGGGUCUUUUCCCUGGAAAAGCGCCCGUUUUGGGUGGAUCUGGUCGCUUUUCUCCAGGCUCUCAUUUGAAUUAUUCAGUUUAUUUUGUGAAUUCAAGCUGGGACAGUUCUGUCUCGGGGAAGAAAUGGUCAUUCCUCAGAUAUUCCUCUCCAGUUGGAAAAGCAUUUCCUUUGGCCGAGUUAAAUCCACUUUUCUUUUUGUCAACAAAAUUCCAUUUCCAUGAAUCACCUUUGGGAUUUUUUGGGUUUUGUUUUUUGGUCAUUAGCACCAAUUUUCAUCAUUUGUGGAUGCAGCACAAGGAGGAAGAAUAUUUGAGAAAAUAUUUCCAUUUUAAUCGUAUUUUAAAUAAGAAUUAUGAGAUUCUGACUCAAUAUCCCAUCUAGAUUUCCUCCUGCACAUCCAAAAUCCUGAAAAUCGAUGGAUUCCCAGUUGGGAUCAUCCUGAUUUGGAAGAGUUUCAUUUCCUUCAGCUCAGACCUUCACCUCUGCUGCAUUCCAGGAAAUAUUUCCAUUUUAAUCAUAUUUUAAAUAAAAAUUCCAAGAUUCUGACUCA
rnacentral:lncRNA from 1 species